rnacentral:rRNA from 1 species
UGAUUUUGGUCGCCAACGAGUGGCGGACGGGUGAGUAACACGUAGGUAACCUGCCCAGAAGCGGGGGACAACAUUUGGAAACAGAUGCUAAUACCGCAUAACAACGUUGUUCGCAUGAACAACGCUUAAAAGAUGGCUUCUCGCUAUCACUUCUGGAUGGACCUGCGGUGCAUUAGCUUGUUGGUGGGGUAAUGGCCUACCAAGGCGAUGAUGCAUAGCCGAGUUGAGAGACUGAUCGGCCACAAUGGGACUGAAACACGGCCCAUACUCCUACGGGAGGCAGCAGUAGGGAAUCUUCCACAAUGGGCGCAAGCCUGAUGGAGCAACACCGCGUGAGUGAAGAAGGGUUUCGGCUCGUAAAGCUCUGUUGUUAAAGAAGAACACGUAUGAGAGUAACUGUUCAUACGUUGACGGUAUUUAACCAGAAAGUCACGGCUAACUACGUGCCAGCAGCCGCGGUAAUACGUA